rnacentral:rRNA from 1 species
UGGGGAAUUUUGGACAAUGGGCGAAAGCCUGAUCCAGCAAUGCCGCGUGCAGGAUGAAGGCCCUCGGGUUGUAAACUGCUUUUGUACGGAACGAAAAGCCUGGGGCUAAUACCCCCGGGUCAUGACGGUACCGUAAGAAUAAGCACCGGCUAACUACGUGCCAGCAGCCGCGGUAAUACGUAGGGUGCAAGCGUUAAUCGGAAUUACUGGGCGUAAAGCGUGCGCAGGCGGUUAUGUAAGACAGAUGUGAAAUCCCCGGGCUCAACCUGGGAACUGCAUUUGUGACUGCAUAGCUGGAGUGCGGCAGAGGGGGAUGGAAUUCCGCGUGUAGCAGUGAAAUGCGUAGAUAUGCGGAGGAACACCGAUGGCGAAGGUAAUCCCCUGGGCCUGCACUGACGCUCAUGCACGAAAGCGUGGGGAGCAAACA